rnacentral:misc_RNA from 1 species
GCCCGGUCCUGGAUGACGUGGCGUCGGGGCGGCCUGCGACAGGGCACGCGUGUGUGCCACCCAUAUGCGUGUUAAAGUGUCGGCGCGACCCGUGCAUGCCCAACACGGCCUUCGCGCUGCCUACUGGUUGGGGGCCCUGGGCCACCCCGAGGCAGAUGGCCCGGGUGGCGACCGGCGCCAUCGGGGCGACCGUGGCGCGUCCAGCGGGGCGGGUGGCGGGCUGAAUGUGGGACGCGGGCCGUGCUCAGGUGGCUGCGCCGGCGUUGCCGCAGCACGUGCUUAGGGUUGCUUUUCCCCAGCCGCUGGGGCCCGCGAUGAGCAGGGCAACAUGGAGUUCGGCUUCAAGUUCACUGGAAAAAGCGCGC